GCACCAGUAGCAAAGAGGUUAUGCAUUGGUCUGCAAAACCAAUAACCCAGGUUCGAGUCCUGGCUGGUGCUCCA
rnacentral:tRNA from 1 species